GAGAGCAGUAUGACCGAGCAAAGAGACUUCAGGAUAAAAUGGUCACCAACCUCACCAUGGCAAAAGACAGGCUUACCCUUUUAGAGACGACACUAGCCUCUAAAAGGAGAAAUGACCCCCAAGGGACAUCACGUCAUGCUCUUCCACAGCCAAAGUCAGCUCCUAAAAGUCAACCCGCAGGUGUUUCCACCACCAUCAGACCCUCCAGUCCUGUAAGACCUUCAUUAAGACUAACUGAUGCAAAGGAACUUGACUGACACCUGUGCUUUGCCUGUGUGCAGAAGAAGAACAAGGACCAGAUUUCCAGUCUUCUCUCUCACAUCCCAACCCCUCUAUCCUCUGUCCUUCUCCACAUGUUCUCUCUGCCUUCUUUCCAUCUGUAUUUCACCCUGUGGUUUGUGCGAAAUUGUGCCAAACUAAGAAUCUUAUUGCGGUUUGAUUUAAAGCCGUUUCUCUCCUGCUCUGUCUGUUCUCUCUUCUAAAUUUUCUCUCUACUUGUUUUUCAUUCUGGGCUUGCUGCUAAGUUGUGCCAAGCCUAUAAAGAGAGUGCAUAAUAUUCUCUCAACUGAAGAACAAACUGUCAAACGAAAGACAACUGUUUCAGACAAAUAAAAACAA